GGUUGUUUUCAGGUGAUGCAUCCUGGAAUUGGGCUCCCUCCUCUCUGGUUCUGGGGUGCAUCACCCAAGAACUGCU
rfam:Myotis davidii contig155321, whole genome shotgun sequence.